UGGGCUGGCUGCCUGCGGGCGCAGGGUUCAGGGAGGUCUGUACCCAAGUUUGUGCUCAGGCUGCCAGUGUGAAGAAUAAAUGCUGGUUUAUGAAUGAAUUCCGAACACCAGCUCCUUCCUCCUCCCCUUCUGGAAAGUCUGCCUGGUUGGGCCCAGCUGAGACGACAGGGCUCCUAGAACUACUCCUAGGAGGAACACAUCUAUUAUUUGAGAAGUCACAGCUGCAUUGUUAUCUGAUGGGCUCGUUGCCAGCCCCAUGAAGCCUGACAGUUACAAAGGGUGGAUUAGCUGCAAAAGAAUAUUUAUUAGGAAAAAUCCCUUUUUACUCU